CCUGCCCCUGGAGACAUUGGCGGUGUGGCCACUGUUGUCACAUGUGUGACAGUAGGUUGCAGAGAGGAGAGAGGCUGUGUCUACAUUCAGUGUUCUGACCUGUGAAUGUCAGAAUAAUUCAUAGCCUAACAUU